rnacentral:rRNA from 1 species
AGUGAACGCUGGCGGUAGGCCUAACACAUGCAAGUCGAACGGCAGCACAGAGGAGCUUGCUCCUUGGGUGGCGAGUGGCGGACGGGUGAGGAAUACAUCGGAAUCUACUCUGUCGUGGGGGAUAACGUAGGGAAACUUACGCUAAUACCGCAUACGACCUACGGGUGAAAGCAGGGGAUCUUCGGACCUUGCGCGAUUGAAUGAGCCGACGUCGGAUUAGCUAGUUGGCGGGGUAAAGGCCCACCAAGGCGACGAUCCGUAGCUGGUCUGAGAGGAUGAUCAGCCACACUGGAACUGAGACACGGUCCAGACUCCUACGGGAGGCAGCAGUGGGGAAUAUUGGACAAUGGGCGCAAGCCUGAUCCAGCCAUACCGCGUGGGUGAAGAAGGCCUUCGGGUUGUAAAGCCCUUUUGUUGGGAAAGAAAUCCAGCCGGCUAAUACCUGGUUGGGAUGACGGUACCCAAAGAAUAAGCACCGGCUAACUUCGUGCCAGCAGCCGCGGUAAUACGAAGGGUGCAAGCGUUACUCGGAAUUACUGGGCGUAAAGCGUGCGUAGGUGGUUAUUUAAGUCCGUUGUGAAAGCCCUGGGCUCAACCUGGGAACUGCAGUGGAUACUGGAUGACUAGAAUGUGGUAGAGGGUAGCGGAAUUCCUGGUGUAGCAGUGAAAUGCGUAGAGAUCAGGAGGAACAUCCAUGGCGAAGGCAGCUACCUGGACCAACAUUGACACUGAGGCACGAAAGCGUGGGGAGCAAACAGG